UUGUAUAUCUUCUCUUCACCUUAUAACAAACAGAGCAAGCUGGUUUUGGUAACCUUUCUUUUCUUUUCCUGAAGGUGGUGUUACAGCUGAAGCUUGUGUUUCCUCCCUUGCGUCAAACUCUGCCUUGUUUUCUGCACAUCCUCUCUUUGUCUAUUUCGCUGCCUCUUGCUUCCACCCUGGGAAGUGCACACAGAAUGCCAGUCACGGAGUGGGAGCAAGUGUGAGUUUGGUACUUAGGGCCAGCUCGGGGAAUCCCCAGGUGAGGUUUUCCUAGCUCUUGGCCAGACUUCCUGCUGGAGCCUCGAAGGCAAUUGGCAAGAUCAGUGUCACUUUAAGAUCAGUGUCUCUGAUAUUCUCAUCUCCCUCUCUCCCAAUCUCCCUUCUCGGACUCACAGAAUUCGUACGUUUAUGCUCUGGGUUGUGUGGGAGAGAAGGCCUUCUCUAGCAGUGUCCUGCACAAAUUGGGGAAGCCAGGCGCUCACUUGGUCUCCCUUUUUUUUCUCACGGGAGGAAUACCAGCUUUCUUUUUUUUCUCUAAAGUGUGCCACCUUCUGGGAGGAAUAAUGCUUGCAACGUUCCUCCCACCCACUCCAAGGCAUCCAAACUCUUCUAGGUUGUUUUUUGUUUUUUCGCACUGGAACUUUUCCUCCAUAAACCUGAACUUUCCUGAAGGCCCUCUUGUCUGCAAAUAUCUGCCCAAGUCUGUGUUUUCCAGGCACCACGAGCAAAAAGGGUUAGAUCUGGUUCACAGGAUCCUGCUGGUUCCACUGGGGUCUAUCUGCCUAUUAUCCAGUUCACAGGUUCCGAGGCAUAUAUCUAAAGCACGGGUUCCAUUUCUCAACCGGCUGUGACCUUGAUCCAUGACCAAGCCCCUUGAGCAGAAUGUUUUCAUAUGAACAGUAAGUAUAAGAAGAGCGGUUUCACUGCCUAGUGACAAGGUUCAAAUGAGAUAACAUGAAAGUCUUUGCCAGCAUGUGAAGCUCCUAGUAAAUGUUAAAAUAUGUUGUUCUUGGGGCGCCUGGGUGGCGCAGUCGGUUGGGCGUCCGACUUCAGCCAGGUCACGAUCUCGCGGUCCGUGAGUUCGAGCCCCGCGUCAGGCUCUGGGCUGAUGGCUCAGAGCCUGGAGCCUGUUUCAGAUUCUGUGUCUCCCUCUCUCUCUGCCCCUCCCCCAUUCAUGCUCUGUCUCUCUCUGUCCCAAAAAUAAACGUUGAAAAAAAAAAUUAAAAAAAAAAUAU
rnacentral:lncRNA from 1 species